rfam:Oryza sativa Japonica Group DNA, chromosome 4, cultivar: Nipponbare, complete sequence.
CUUAAUUCUUGGGUUUUUUAUCUAACAUUUGACCGUUCAUCUUAUAUAUAAUUUUUUAUGAUUAGUAUUUUUAUUAUUGUUAGAUGAUAAAACAUGAAUAAUAAUUUAUGCAUAACUUAUCUUUUUAAAUUUUUUUAUAUUUUUUUAAAUAGGACAGAUGGUCAAACGUUAAACACCGAAACUCAGG